GCGCCCGUAGCUCAAUUGGAUAGAGCGUCUGACUACGGAUCAGAAGGUUUGGGGUUCGAAUCCCUACGGGCGUGCCA
rnacentral:tRNA from 87 species